AAGGCUAUACUUUCAGGGAUCAUUUCUAUAGUUCGUUACGAGAGAAGUUCCUCUGAUCCUGUAGAGCCCCGAAAACCACGAGGAGGAGGUACAGCAUUCUCUCCUGAGCGUGAAGCCUGAACAAAUAAAUAAAUGUAAUUUAAUUUAAAAAAUAAGAAAGUGCAGAUG
rnacentral:snoRNA from 1 species